UUGUGGUUACGUUUGUGCCUUCUGUCCAUUCAGAGUUUGCGAUGUGCACGUGGACUAUGUUCUCCUGCUUUUUAAUUGUUUUUUGUGGAAAUUUGUGAUAUUUGAAUAAAAUAAGAUGUCUAAAAGAAAUAUUUUGGAUUUGGACAAAAUGGAUGAUUAGGAAUUUGAGGCCAUGAUGACAGGAAUCGAUGAUAGUCAGGCUGAAGAUUCUGAUAUUGGUGGUGAUUCGGAUCCUGAGGACAAUCUUCCUUUGAAUCCCGUUAGCUUACUUUUCAUGUGAAUUAGUUAUGUAAGAAUUGUAUUUGUGUACUAGAGAGAGACUGAAAACUUUAUUCCACUCUGAAGACAAAUUCAAAGACUGCCUAAUGCAAAAAGGUUGUUGAUUUUGCAUGUAUUAUACUAGAAAUAGUAAAUAUAAUAAUUUGAUUUCCUAAAUAA